AAAAUAUGGUUGCGUAG
rnacentral:misc_RNA from 1 species